rnacentral:misc_RNA from 1 species
AAUUAUAAUCCUACCUUUUGAAUUUGUUGUUUGAAAUAAUUUUUAAAAAAUUAUUUAUAGUUUUGUCUAUCCCUGAUUGUAAGAGAGUAAUUCUUGAAGACUAGGGAAUAGGCUUUAUCUAUAGAUAAUGAAUUUAAAGACUUUUUAAAUUAAACUUUUGUAUUCAUUUUUCUAAAAUUUAUUUUUAAUAAUUUAAAAACAACUUUGACAAUGGAUCUCUUGGUUCUCGCAACGAUGAAGACGCAGCAAAAUGCGAUAGUAAUGUGAAUUGCAGAUACGUGAAUCAUCAAAUCUUCGAACGCAUAUUGCACUUUUUAGUUUACUAAAAAGUAUGUCUGUUUGAGUAUCAGUAAGUAUUCUCAUAAAAAAUUUAUUUUUUUAUGUUUGAGUGUUUACAACGAUACAAUUUUCACUUUAAUGACUUUAAAUUGCCUAUUAAUUUAGUCAUUUUUAAAAUGCAUAAAAUUUUCCCGUAAAAAGGAAUAACCUAUCAAUUUAAAAUUAACUGAUAUUAAAGGCUUGAUAAAAGAAAUUUAAUUAAAUACUUGAUCUCAAAUCAGAUAAGAGUACCCGCUGAACUUAAGCAUAUCAAUAAGCGGAGAAAAGAACUACAAGGAUCCCUAGUAACGGCGAGUGAAGCGGGAGAGCUCAAAUUUGAAAUCUUCAAGGUUUGACCUUGACGAUUGAGUUAAAGAAGUGUUUUCGGUUAGAGGAGUGGUAAAGUUCUUGGAAUAGACAUCAUAGAGGUGAGAAUCCGUAUUUGACCAUUCUUUCUAGCUUUGUGAUACACUUUCAAAGAGUCGGAUUGUUUGGAAUGCAGUCCAAAUGGUGUAAAUUUCAUCUAAAGCUAAUAUUGCGAGAGACCGAUAGCGAACAAGUACCGUGAGGAAAGACGAAAAGAACUUUGGAAAGAGAGUUAAACAGUACGUGAAAUUGUCAAAGGGAAGCGUUGAACCAGUGUUGUUUUCCGAAAAUCAAUUAAAAUGAUUCAUGCCAGUUGUAUGACCUUAUCAGCUUGCAAUUUGGUUUGGUUUCUUUUUGAUGCACUUUUCGGUUAACAGUCAACAUCAAUUUCCUUGCUGUAAAGGCAGAAGGAAGGUGGCUUCAAUUUCGGUUGAAGUGUUUAUAGCUUCUGUCUCUGCAGUCGGGGAGAUGAGGUCUGCAGCGUAGAUCCUUCGGGGUUAAUACAUUCGUGCUAAGUAUAGCCUUUUAUAGACACUUGUUGACUAUGAUCGGUCUGUAAUUUACUCGCGAGUGCUAUUUAACCUACGCUUAGAUUGUGAA